UUUUUUUCGCACGUGUUUUCAGCUGUUUAAACAGGGUUUUUUUUGGGUUUUUUGGCGUUUUGGUUUUUCACCGGUCUUCCUUAGCUUUCAAAACAAAAAAACAUCGAAAAAACAAUUUGCGCAAAAAAUGUGUUUUCUUUUUUUUCUUGCGAGAGGCACGGUUUUGCUUCGCGGGAGGCACGACCGUGCCUCUCAGAAAUGGAAAAUAAAAAUGAGUUUUUGGUAUUUUUUUUUCUUUCGCUGGAGGCACGGUUUUGCUUCCGCGAGAUGCACGGUUUUGCUUUCGCGGGAGGCACGACCGUGCCUCUCAGAAACAGACAAAAACGCAUUUUCUGUUUUUUUUUUUCACGAGAGGCACAGUUGUGCUUUCGCGAGAAGCACGGCCAUAUCUCUCAGAAAUGAAAAAAGAAAUGCGUUUUCUGUUUUUUUUCUUCUACACGAGGCACGGUUCUGCUUCCGCUAGAGGCACGGUUGUGAUUUCACGAGAGGCACGGCCAUGCCUCUUUUGAAAAGGGAAAUAAUCAUGCUCCUGGUUUGGUUUUUUUUCGUCCCGGUUUUUUCGUGAAAAAAAGUUUGCUAAAACCUGUUAACAUGGGAUCUAGUUUUGAAGAUCUCAACCCGAGGAAUCCAAUGGUGAAAAUGAUUCGAGAUUUGGACGCAGGGUUUAAGAGAUAAAACGUUUUGAAUAAACGAAUCUACGAAAAAGGGGAAAACUCCGAGGUUUUUUUUUUGCGGGUGAACUCCGAGGUUACGAUAAGUUGCGCACAUGCAACGCGCACUUGUAACAACCUGGAAAAGUGGGAGUGAUCUUUCCGAGGAGUACUCCUCAAUUAGUGAUUACAGAAACCAGCUCACCUAUUGAAAGAUUUGCAGCCAUCUUAAAGCGACCAAACAUAAACACUAAUUCGCAAAAAAAAUCCACAAAAAGAAGUACGUGAACAGCAGGGGUCGUAUUCCCUCAAAAGAAAAAAAAAUCAGCAGGGAUCAAACACACAACCACCACGCCGCUAGCCAAUUUGUUCUCUAAAAUAACAACCCAGUUUAAAAAAUUACAGGCCAUGAAUUUCUUUUUUUUUCAAAUUUCAAAAGUGAUAUUCUUUAUGAAUAACCAACAUUUUCAAAUUUUGUUAAAAAAAUAAAAACUCAAACGUUCAGUGAAAACACGAACAUUUCUGUGGAAUAUCACACAUUUUUUCCAAAAAUAAAGAACAAAAUUAAGGACGAGAAUAUUUCUCAAAACUAUGAACAAUAUUCUGAAAAUGCGAACAUUUUUUUGAAAAACACAAACAUUUUCUGAAAUUGUGAUUUUCUUUUCAAAACAGGAACAUGUUAUGAAUUUCCCAGAACAUAUUAUUUUAUUUGAGAACAAAUCCUGAAAAUAGGAAAUUUUUGAAAAACAUAAACAUGUUUCAAAAUUAUGUACAAUUUUCAUAAUUAUAUAAAAGAUCAAAUACGAAUAUUUUAUGAAAUUGCAUGAAUAUUUUCUGAAUUUGUGAACAAAUUUUUAUAACAUGAACAUUUUUUGAAUUUGUGAAUAUAUUUUGAAAUACGGACCAUUUUUUGAAAAUCAGGAACAUUUUGCGAAACUACGANNNNNNNNNNAUAAACAUCGUUUGAAUUUGUGAACACAUUUUAAAAACAGGAACAUCUUUUGAAAACCACAAACAUUUUUUGCAAUUUUGCACUUUUUUGCAAAGCACGAACAUUUUAUCAAAUUCACCAAACAAAUUUUGCAUUUGUGAACAAAUUUUGAAACCUUAAAGAUCGUUUGAAUUUGAAAAAAAAUUUGGAAAUAGGAAUAUAUUCUGGAAUUCAUGAAUAGUUUUAAAAUUUGUGAGCAAAAUUUGAAAUGCGAACAUUUCCUAAAAUUAUGAAAUUCUAAACUUUCUUGUAUUGUCAAACAUUUUAUGAAAAGAAGCAUACAAAUUAUAAAAUUCUAUUUUUUUCUAAAAUAUCUGAACAAAAUUUGAAAACAGAAACAUUUUUUGAAAACUGAAUAAAAUUUGGAAAAAUGAAAAGAUUUUAAAAGUUCUGAACAUUUGAUGGGAAAGAAAAGAAAAGUUGAAAAGAAACAACAAAAUGAAAAAAAAAGGGGGGACCUCCUGUUGGGGCGCCCCUAUCUCUCGCCUUCACCGACCAGAUAGGAACCCUCCCCAAAGGGGAGACCGAGGUGGACCGGGCCAGUAGGGCGGUAGGCCGAAUCCUUGUUUGAUUUGUUUUUUUACGUUUUCUGUUUCGUUUUUUGCUUUAUUUUUAUUUUAUUUAUAAUUUAAAAUAUUUUAAUAUGUAUAUCAAAAACAUCUGUGAAAAAUCAUUUGUGAAAUGUUGACCAAGCAUUUGAAAAAUGUUGAAUGUGUAUACAGAAAAUGUUUACCAACUCUAUGAAAAAUGUACAAUAAAAUGUAUAUAAAAAUGUAAUCAUGUUUUAAAAAAGCAUUAAUCACACAUUUGGGACCAGUAUUUCAAAAAUAUUGAUGAAAAUUUUGUAUAAUAUUAAAUGUGUAUAUAACAUAUGUUGGCCAUGUAUAUUAUUAAAAAAAGGUUCAGUGUGUAUAGAAAAAUUGUUGAUCAUAUAUUUGAAAAAUGAUGAUUUUUUUAUCAUGUAUAUACAAAAUGUUAUUGAAGUAUUUAAAAAAGUAUUUUUAAAAUGUUAAUCAAGCAUUUGGGAAAUGGUAGAUCUGUAUAGAAAAAAUGUUAACCAUGUGUUAAACAAUGAUGAAGAAAAUUGAUCAUGUGUAUAAAAAUGGUAAUUGAGCAUUGGAAAAAUGAUGAAAAAUUAUUUCAAAAAAAGUUAAUCAAUUAUUUGGAAAAUGUUAAAUCUGUAUAGAAAAAAUCUUGACCAUGUAUGAAAAAUAAUGAAUUUGUUUGCCAUGUAUUUAAAAAUGUUAAUAAAUUGGAAAGAAAUGUUGAACAAGUGUUUGAAAAAUUCUAUCAAGCAUGUGGAAAAUGUUAAAUGUGUAUAGAAAUAAUGUUGAUCAGGUAUUUAUAAAUGCAUUAAAUAUAUAUAGAAAUAAUGUUGAUCAUGUAUUAAAAAUGUGAAUAAUGAAUUAAUAAAUAUAAUCAAUCACUCAAAAAAACUAAAGUUGUGCAUAGAAAAAAUGUUAACAGUGUAUUAAAAAAUGUCAAAUUUGUAUUGCUAAAAAUUUAAACAUGUAUUAGAAAAAUACUGUUGACUCAUAUACAAAAAAAUGUAGAAUAAACCAAAAGAACCAAAGAAACCCAGAAAAUAAAAUCCAGAAAAUAAAAAAUAAAAAAUAAGAAAUUAUGAAAUAAUACCAAAGAAACAUAUGCAAAAGGAAUUAAAAACCAAAGAAGAACAAGAAAAGAAACAAAAUCAAACAAAAAAGAAAAAAUAAAGAAAAACAAAACCAAAAUAAAAGAAAAGAAAAGGCCAAAUGAAAAUUGAGAAAAAACAGGGAAAAACCGAUAAAAAAACAAAAGAAAGCAAAACGAAAACAACCAAGAGAAAACAUAGAAAAAAGAGUGCAAAACCCGUCUGGUUUCGCUUAAGUAGUACCGCGCGACUUGUCCACCACAAAUCUGAGGCAAACCUAGUGGCUAGCGGGACUAGGAGACUAGGGUUCGAAUCCCCUUCGCGCUCCUUUUUUCACCUCCCUUUUUUCUUUAUGAACUCUGCGCCGGCGAGUUGGUCUUGCUUAAUGCGAGAUAUAGUAAUUGCGCUCCUGUUCUUCGUUCUCAGCGUAGCUUAGGCCAGUUGGCGCUCGAAGGCGAGCAGUAGUGGUCCUGCCCAGCAUCACCCGCGUCCCGGAACAGAAAAAAUCAUCAACACUAUUUUUUUUGCGAGAUGUGGGGUUCAAACAAGAAUGCCAUCUUUGAUGCACUAAGCGCCAUAUCUACUGCACCACAAUCACUUUUAUGUCCUAUAUCAGAAAACAAUGCUAUUUGACACUUGCUUCAGUCCUAUUAUAAAUUAUUUGAAAUAAGAAAACAUACGUUUGCAAAAGAAUUCAGAGAUUUUAUAGAAGUUCAUCAAAUUUGGAGAAAAAUUCACGGAUUUUCAAUAAAAAAAGUCCAUUAAUUCCUAAAAUGUUCACGAAUUUGGAAAAAGUUCCGUGGAUUUUGAAAAAGAAAGUUUAAAGAUUUUAAAUAAGUGAAAUGGAUUUCGAAAAAUGUUCAUGAAUUUCCCAAAAUUCACUGGAUGCUGAAAACAAAUCAUAGAUUUGAAAAAAGUUCAUAAAUUCUUAUACUGUCUCUAUUUUUAUUUACUCAGCGUAUUAGAUUUGACAGAAGUAUAACAAACAGGGUUUAUCGGGCCUGACUAUAUCUCAUAUUCAGUGAGUCUAGCUUCCAACUCGUUGAAGGGCCGAGCUAGAUGGGACGGCCCACGCAUGCGAGAGGCCAUAACCUCGUUUUUCUAUUUAUUUUUUGGUUUUAUUUUUGUAGUUUUGUUUAUACUUGCAAAUAUUUCAAAAAACAUUAUAAAAAACACUCUAAAAGAUAUUGAUGAAUAAUGAACAAGUAUUUCAAAAAUGUUGAACAGGUAUUUCAAAAAUGUUGAACAAGUAUUUGAAAAAUAUUAAUCAAGCAUUUCGGAAAUGAUAACUGUGUAUAGAAAAAAUGUUGACCAUGUUUAAAAAAAGGAUGAAAAAAUUUGAUCAUGUAUGUAAAAAUGUUAAUCAAGCAUGUGAAAAAAAUAUAGAACAAGUAUUUGAAAAUGUUAAUCAAGCAUUUAGAAAAUCCUAAAUGUGUAUAGAAAAAAUGUUGAUGAUGUAUUAAAAAAAUGGUGAAAAUUUUGAUCAUGUAUAUAAAAUGUUAAUCAGGAUUUGGAAAAAUCAGUGAACAAGUGUUUGUAGAUAAUCAUGCGUUUGGAAAAUGUUAAAUGUCUAUAGGAAAAAUCUUGACUAUGCAUUCAAUAAAAUUAAUUUUUUAUUUGAAAAUUGUUAAUCAAGCAUCUAAAAAAUGUUAAAUAUACAGAAAAAUGUUGAACAUGUUUUCACAAAAGGUAAUUACCUCAUGGACCCCUCCUACGUCUUACGUCAAGAGUAGUUUUGGUCGUUUGCGUAGGCGAAUUUAAUGUAUUUGCACCUUGCGCGCAUGCCCGAGCUUGAUGUCGGCGCGUACCUGAACUUCGGCAAGGCAAGCUCUAUUUUUUAUUGUAAUUGUGGUCUUUACUCAAGGGACAUUCAUGUGUACAAUGGAAGAGUCCCAAGGCUCGAGGAGGCAAAUAAAACGACCACUGUAAAGCGACGUAGAGCUUUUAACUAAUUUACUGACAUCAAAAUUAGAACCAUUCUUCUUUCCUGAAUCUCCCUAAGACGAGGCUAUAGAUACCACGAUUGCCCUCAUUUGAUUCCAUUGAUCACUAUUGAUGGGUCGCAUGUGAUAUCACAUGCGAUAUAAAGCUUAUGGGAUUGCAAGUCCUUCACUAGUGCUAGCUGUUGGGCUACGCCCAUGCAUAUACGGCAAAUUAAGAUUUAAUCCUAGCAAAUUAAGAUUUAAUCCCAUGCAUAUACGGCAGAUCACCCAGGUGCAUUCGUAGGAGAUAGAUCACGAGAUUACCACUAGACAUGACGUCCUUAUAAUGGAACAAGGGUUGGAGCGGCGCAUCACUGAAUUCUUCUCCUCCUUGUUGUCAAUCUCACUCGUUUAGCUUGAUCACCGGAUCCGUCGAACUAGUUCGCCGGAGUAGGAAAAGCGCACUACCUCUAAUGGUAUGUAUGGUAGGAACACCGAGCUACAGACUGCUAGGUCCAGUCGCAUAGCUUGGGCCUGAACAAGUGGCUAGAUACAACACUUGCAAUCCUAGUCGGAGCAAAACUCAUAUACACUCAUUGCAGGUAUACCUCCACUUAUAUAGACGUUCGAUCGUGGGCUCAACACUUGAGACAUGCUUCCACUCAACUAGGAAGGUGUUGCGCCCCCAAAUGCAAGCGUUUGCAGCAAGCAGCAGCUUCCCCUUGAGUGGCCUCAAGGUUUAUCUAAUCCACGGUAGCUACGCAACUACAACCAAUGAUCAGUACCUCCACACACAAAUACAAAACCUUCUUUGUGCCCCCAACAAGACUAGUGAGGUUGUCAGUGAUGCUAGAUACAAAAGGAAAUAAAUGCAAUGGUGGAAUGAUUGGCGGAAAUUAAUGGAAAAAAUGAAAAUCAAGGAAAGUAAAAGAUAUUGAAAGCUUUAUGGAUGAAGAUGGACCAGGAUCCAUAGGUUCACUAGUGGUCUCUCUCAAAAGAUAAGCAACGAUGUGGUGAAUAAAUUGCAAUGUUUAUGAGUAUGAUUAUUCAUGGCAUAAUUAGCAUAUGGUCAUCACGUCCUUAAAUCUAUAAACCGUUAUCCGACAACAUCUAUGUGCACUCCACCCCAAGAUUGCUAUCCAGCAUGCAUCUCAAAAUAUUAAGUAAAACAGAGAACGAUGGCAUGAAGUAGAUCAUAUAUUGUCUUCACCCUGUGUUCAAAGGACAACUAUGAAACCAUAUUUUUAUCAAUAGUACAGGUCUUUUUUUCCACAUUUUGUCACUACGGUAGCUUACUUGCAAGGUUGAAUCCAACUAUCAUACACAACUCCCUUGAUGAUCAAACCCCAAACUUGGCUAGAGAAAGAGAUAAUAGAUCGGAGGGUAUAUAUGAAUAAUAGUUAUGCAAAUAAAUAAACAAAUAGAUCUCAAAAGAAUUCAUAAAUAGAUCUGAUGGAUCACAAUCAUGUAGGAUAGCUCAUAUGAUGUUUGUAUGAGAAGAAGAGAGAGAACCAUCUAGCAACUUUAUGGACCCAUAGUCCAAUGAAAACUACUCACAAGUGGUCAUGAUGGCUUUCAAGUUGAUGGAGAUGGUCAGUGUGAUGAUUUCCCACUCUGGCAGUGUACCAGAAAUGGCCUUCAAAUUGGAUCUUGGUGAAACAGAGGUGUGCGGCGACGGGAAAAUUAUGGAGAUAAAUCCUUGAAGGGUUUCAGAAGCAUAUGAAGGCACGCGGCCGAGAGGCAGUAAAUUGGAGCACCAGUGGGGCUAUGUGGUAGGGGCACGCAGAAGCAAACGAAUGUGUAUGGGUACGCACGCACGAAAUAUCCAUUUCGAUUCACGCGGCAGAAUUGCGUGGGCGCACGAGGCUAGUAUGGUAUGUAUCGUGUUUGAAUUCGACCAUAUUCAAGGGCUGACUUGUUUGAACACAAUGUAUUUUCCCGCUAUUGAAUAUGGUGUAUAGCUGAGAAUCCCGCGCAAUUCCGUCCCUUGCAUGACUUAUGGAAUCACGCUCUCUGGGCAUAUAAUAAUGCUUGUAUCAAGGUAUGCUCCCAAGACUGAAUACAAUUGUACAUUCAUCCUACUUCGUGUUCUUCCUUUCUACACUUAUUCCCUUUACUUUAGUUAUUAUAUGUCAGUCAACUGAAUGAUAAUUUGGGUCAGUCUUUCUUGGUCGUUGAUUUUUGUUGUGCUAGGCGAGUGUAGCGUCUCAUUGCCCAGGCUCAUCUGCACCCGGUUAGAAAAAAAUAAAAAUAAAUAUUAGAGAAUUGAAAAAAAAAAUGUGUGGUAGAUAAUUUGAUGUGUGAGAUCCGCCCCAAUUUUCAGAUAAUUUGGACAUCUGACUACCUCUCAGCCAAAAGACAAAUCGGUUUAGAACAGUAUGUGAACAGUAAACUUCAAAAAAUCGGGUCAAAACGGUGCCGAGAGCUGCUCAGAUGUUCAAAUGAUUUGAAAAUUGGAGCGAACUUCACGCAUCAAAUUAUCCAUCACACCAUAAAUGGAUUUUUUUUGAAUUUUUCGAGUAUUUGUUUUGAUGUUUUUCGUCAUCACGGGAGCAGCUGAGCCUGGGCUCAGAAGUGGAUUAUCGGUGCUAUGUUUGCUUUUCUCGACGCCCUAUAUUUGAGGGUCAAUUAAUUUGCUACCGGGCCAAAGUCCAUUAACUAUGCAAUCCAGCCCUCCUCUCUAUCCCUUUAUUUCUUCUAUAUUUUUUCUGUUUUUAUGUCUUUUUGCUUCUUCUUUUCGUUUUCUUUUGUUAUUUGGUUUUUAUUUUUGUUCUGUGGGUAUUUUUCGGAUGUUGGGUGAGUAUAAAUGUAUACACAUAAACACUAUGCAAUCAGUGCAAAAAUUGCACUAUAUAUGAUUAUUGUUUGCAUACUACAAAAGUACAUUUUUAGAGCAAAGUUAUGUGCACGUUUUAAAAACAAACUUUUGUGUUAUCUUUGUUCUUUAAAGGGUAAUACUAAUGCUACAAAUUCUUUGUGCCUUGUUUUGAAGAAAAAAAUAGUUAUUAUUUCAUUUUCUUUCUUCUUCAAGGGAUAAAACCAAUGCCACUACUUCACGCCAGCUUAGGAUUUGUUUUUUGGCGAAAAUUCCACUAUUAUAUGUUUGUUCUUCAAUAUUUUUGAAAACGCAUUUUGUGAAUAUUGUGUGCAAUUUUUUUCGUUGGUUGUUUAAAUUUUUUAUUUUAUUUCUUUUAAAGGUAAUAUCAAUGCCUCUAAUUUAUUCUUCCUUAGCAAAUCUUUUAUUAUUAUUUUUUAGUUAUUAAUUUAAUUUAUUUCUUCUAAAAGAUUAAUACCAAUAUCGCUAAUUCAUUCUUCCUUAUAAAACCUCAUUAUUUUUAUUUUUUAUGUAUUAUUUCAUCUUUAUUUUUCUUAAAGACUAAUACCAAAGCCACUAAUUCAUCCUUUCAAGAAAAAAUUGGACUUUUGAUUGUUUUUAUUUUAUUUUAUUUCUUUCUUCUUUAGUGAUAAUACCAAUGCCACAAUUCAUUUCUUCUUAGGAAAAUUCUUUUUGUGCAAAUUCAACUAUUAUAUUUUUAUUCUUGCAUAUUAUAAAAACAUGCAAUUUUAGUGUGAAUUGUUUGCAAAUUAGCUCCUUAUUUGUUUUAUUAUUUUUCAUUUUCUUCCUUCUUAAAGGGUAAACCAAUGACACUAAUACAUUUUUCUUAGAAAACUUCAUUAUUUGGAUUUUGUUUAAGUUUUUAUUUCAUCUUAGGGAAAUUCAAUUUUCUUUCUUAUUUAAGGGUACUAUCAAUGCCACUAAUUCAUUCCUUCUUAGGAAAUUACUUUUUUUGUGAAACUUCACUAUUAUAUGCUUACUCUUACAUAUUAUAAAAAUAGCGCAACUUCUUUGCAAACCAUGUGCAAGUUGUGUCUUUUUUUUUGCUAUUCUUUUUCCUUAAAGGGUAUUACCGAUGCCACUUAUUCAUUCUUCCUUAGAGAAAUUCAUUAUUUUGAUUUUAUUUUAGUUUUUUCAUUUCUUUCUUAAAAGGUAAUACUAAUGGUACAAAUUCAUUCCUUCUUAGGAAGCUUAUUUUUUGAGAAAAUGCCACAAUUAUAUGUGUAUUCUUUCAUAUUAUAAAAAAUCGCAGUUUCUGCGUAAUUGUGUGUAAAUCUUAUUAUUAUCUUCUUUCUCCUUAAAGGGUAAUUCCAUUUCUAGUAAUUUACUAUUUCUUAAAAAACUUUAUUAUUUUGAUUUGGAGAAGUAGAGACGCCAAGACUUAUGGAAUCACGCUCUUCAAGGAUAUAUAAUGCUUGUAUAAAUGUAUGCUCCAAAGACUCGAUACAAUUUUACAUUCAUCCCAGUUCAUGUUCUUCCUUUCUACACUGUUCCCUUAGAGAAUUACCGAUAGGUGCAUAGGGCACCUAAAGGUCGUCAAAGUUAAUUUUACAACACCCAAAACUGUUCCAAAGAACUCCAACUUCAAUAGAUGCCCUAAAAACAAAUUAUUUUUGGAAAGCAUAUUGCAUAGAUCAAUUCAAACAAACAUCCGAACAUUACAUAGAUUUAAACCUUAAACACAAAAUUUCAUCAUACUACUUGAUCAAACAUAAAAGAUCACUACUACUCUAUACUUGUCUUAGGGCAUCUCCAAGGCGGACCUGCAAACCGCUCGCACCUGUCCGGACUGGCGAAGUCAU
rnacentral:lncRNA from 1 species